AUUGAACGCUGGCGGCAGGCCUAACACAUGCAAGUCGAACGGUAACAGGAAGAAGCUUGCUUCUUUGCUGACGAGUGGCGGACGGGUGAGUAAUGUCUGGGAAACUGCCUGAUGGAGGGGGAUAACUACUGGAAACGGUAGCUAAUACCGCAUAACGUCGCAAGACCAAAGAGGGGGACCUUCGGGCCUCUUGCCAUCGGAUGUGCCCAGAUGGGACUAGCUAGUAGGUGGGGUAACGGCUCACCUAGGCGACGAUCCCUAGCUGGUCUGAGAGGAUGACCAGCCACGCUGGAACUGAGACACGGUCCAGACUCCUACGGGAGGCAGCAGUGGGGAAUAUUGCACAAUGGGCGCAAGCCUGAUGCAGCCAUGCCGCGUGUAUGAAGAAGGCCUUCGGGUUGUAAAGUACUUUCAGCGGGGAGGAAGGGAGUAAAGUUAAUACCUUUGCUCAUUGACGUUACCCGCAGAAGAAGCACCGGCUAACUCCGUG
rnacentral:rRNA from 1 species